CCUUAUAAAGCCCAGGGCUGAGGCCAGGCUGGCAGUUCUCUGCCAGCAGCCAGAGGGUUAGGAGCUCCGGCAGUUAGGAUGCGAGGUGAGGCAAUAACAUUGCCUGGCUGCAAGGCUGCUUGGAGUAUCUUGGAGAUGGCAGGCUGGAUCCAGACUCCAGGGCAUCUCAUGGACUGGAUAACCCACCUCUGGUACCAGGGUGAGUGGCAGCAGUGUUAACCCCCUGCAUACUGACCAUCCCACCACUACUUGCCCCACUACCAAAAGGGAUCUCCAGCAUGGUUCUUGACCCAGAAGUUCAGCAGUGAGGCAACCAGCACCUAUGGGGUUAAUGCUUCCCCAGUGCAGCUCUCAAUCUGGAAGUUCUGCAACAAGGUGAGUGGUAGCAUCAUUAACCCCCUGGGUGCUGGCUCCACUAACACAGUCGUGAGGCUCCACAGACAGUUGUGGGUCUUUAAUUCUGUUGUUGCCCACCCCACCACAGAAUGUUCAGCCUCAUGGAUCAUGAUUUAACCACUCAUAGACCACAUGUGGCCCAUGGGCUGCCAAUCAGACAGCCCUGUUCUAAGCAAUUCUUUGAUCUGCUGCAAAAGGAGAGAAAUCUAAUCAGCUCUUUAACUGGGUACUGCGGUAGAACCUGAGUACUUUGUACAUUUAGGUUCCAAGCCCCCCAGUAAAGAUGACGGUAUACAGAAUCACUCCAAACAGCUACAUGGGUCUGCAAAGGUAGUCCAGCUGUUUGUGGAGUCUUUUAUUUCAGAGGCUGCCACUUCUCCCCUUAGCUCUGUAAGCCCAUUGAUGAGUGGUAGCUGGUCAGAGAAGUGAGGCCCUCUGAAACAAAAGCUCUGCAAACAGAUGAGCAGCUCAUGCUUAACUUGACAAUCUGCACAUUAAGUGUCACCUAAAAAGUGUGCAUUUACACUACUAUGCAUUAGGGCCGCCUAAUGCUCGUUAAUUUAAGUGGGCUGCAAACCACCUAGAUGUGAAUAAUCUGGGUUCUCCUGUGUGCCCUGCACAGAUCCAAACUCCACUGUUCUGCUUCUGACCAUCUACCAUCUUUCCCCUUUGUCCCCCCUAGCCCUCCCCCACCUUUCCUCCAUCUUUCUUGGGGCUGAAAUGCAGCUGGUGCAGAUUGGUUUACCCCUACUGAAGCCAAGGGAACUAUAUGGAAUCCUUGAAUUUCCUGCGGGGGGGAGGGUUUACUCUCAAAUGUUAUCAAUAUAAAAUAUAAAAAAAGCAUCCACUAUAUAUUGUAGAGCCUGGACCAUGCCUAUCAGGGUGGUCCACAACCCAUUUAACUUGCAGCAAGUUGUCAAAUUAAAGCUAAGCCACUCAGCUGUUGACUGUGGCUGCAUGCUGGCUAGUUCUUCAUCUUCGCAGGAAGGCAAAGCAAAGUAUCUAGGUUCUACUGCAUAAGUCCAAUUUAGUCACUCAUUACCACAGCUGCUCCCUAAUCUCUCUAACCAUAGACAUCUCUGGAUUAUGCUCCUGAUUUGAUGCCUAUACACUUAACUGAUUUCUGCAAACAAUCCUCAUGCCUGGCUUUUUACAAUUUGCUCUGCCUUCCUAACUAUUCUGUUUACACCUAAAAAUGAAAUUAGGCAGGGACAAGAAAUUAUUUUGUACAGUAACUGAUCUAAAUUGUGACUAAACUGACCUACAGUGGAAGAAGAAUAUUGAUCAAACUGGAAUAUACCAAGAGGAGAAAAGCACACUGCCCUUUACUAUAUAUUGUACAUUAAAACAUAAAGAAUGUGCAGGCUUCUUCGAACAUGUGCAGAGCAUGGUGUACCCAGAGCUUGACUGUCCUUACCCAAACAAAACUCUCCCCUGAAGUCAGCUUAGCAUGGAGGUUUCUAUAACUACAAAUGAACAAACUGUUCGCUACCAAGGCUGCCAUUGUUUUGUGGCAUGAACUGCUUUAAUCAGCUCUUUAACAUACCUGAAAAUUCUUGACACUGAGUAUUUUUCUGUAUAAUAUUUUUCAAGGCACAGUGGUUUUGGAAUAGAAAAUAGGGAUAGAGCAUUAAUUUGGGAUUUGUGCUGACUCAGUCUGAGUUGCAACAAGGUAAACCAGAGAGACUGAUCAUGUGUGAGUUUUAAGUGUGCACCGAGCUGAUUUUACACUGCUGCUUUGCACUGGACAAAACCCUUGUGUAGAUGUGCUGUGCCUAGCGUGACCAUAAAUCCCCAUGCCAGAACAGUCCCAGAUUUUGGAGACCAGUCCUGCCUGGCUGGUGAAAAUUAAAAUGAGUCCCAGGCACAAGGGGUGCAGUCGAGUGUGGAGGCAGAGUGGCAUGAGCUCUAAAAUAGGAAGCCCUAGCAGACAGCAAAUUUGCCCUAAAAUAGAUUAGCUUGACAGCUGAAUUAUCAUUAAAAAGGGGAGAUGAUUGUUAACACUUGUGAAGUAAAGAACAGUAGGUCAUUAACAGGACAUUAACUCCCUUAGGAGCCUGAAUAGUAAUACCAGAGCUGCACCAUGCCACCCAACACCCACCUCUGCCUGCAGCAGCACCACUAACUUGGAAAAGGGGGUGGAGGGAGAUGAGCAGUGUCUUGGAUUUCACAUUAUCCCAUAUGGUCACCCUAGCUAUGCCACUGUAAAAGGGCAGAGGGCUCAAUGCUCCAGAAGGAGGCUGCACAAAUUGAGGAUGUAUGAGGCCCUGCCUACGUUAGAUUGUUCUGGCUUUCCACCACCUCACAACCCCUAGAGUCACGAUAACAGCCCUGUUCUAAACACAGUUACAUUGGUGGUAGUGCUGGAGUUUAUAAGGUACCCAGGGGUUGUUGGUGUUCCAACCACCAAAUCAUCAGAGCAGGUCUCAGUAGCUUGGAAGGGAUUUUCAAAGGCCCACAGGUGUCAAGGAUCCAUACAAAGAGAACUAAUUGUCCUUUGUGGCUUUGAAAAUCUGCCCGAUAGUUGUUAAAAAGUCAGCAAUUCUUUGCGCUAGCGUUUCUGGCAUUGAUAAGCAUUGAUGCAAACAGUGCAACUGCCCCCACCUUAGUAACAAUAGGAAACAUUACAGAAGAAAACCACUUGUAUAGCAGAAGCUGAAUAAUGUUAUUUUCCUUGCAUGUAUGUCCCCACCUGUAUAUGGUAUUAUAUACUCUAUUUGUGCAGUACUAUUCCUCUGCAUAGUCAUGUUGUAGAAUCCUAGGUUUCACCGGUUAUUUUGCACUCAUAAUUACUUAGUUUACGCAUACAGCAUAGGUCAAAUGUUUUGAGAAAUUAGCCCAGAUAGGAUCGAGUUACCAGAGACAAUUUCAGCUUUAAAAGAAUCUCUCCUUGCUAAAACUUGGCUGUCCUUGUUACAAACAAUAUCUAAGAUCGUAAUAACAUGGGCACUUGAACAGUAUGGAAUAACUUAUUACAGUAGCCACAUCAGGCCCACUGGCCUCACACUCAAGGAAAUACUCAUUUGCUUCUAUGCCUUCCAGGUGUAUGCUAUCCACAGCUCAGUCAGACUAAAGCAUCUUCAUUCCAUGGCUCAAUUCAAUAAGGUAUUGAUCACUUCAACCAAGUAUUGUUCCAACAGCUCUUGAGGUCAAAGGAAAUCAUGAGGGAAGUGAGCACCUAACAGCAGUGCUCAGCACCUGGCAAAAGCAAGCCACAAAUAUGUCCUGAAGCAAUAACAGAAUAAAAACACAGAAUAGGGUGUUCAGCAGUAAACAGCUUUGGCCUAAUUUAGCUCCCACUGCAGUCCAGUUUUACUGCCCUGGGCAGCAGUGGUGGCAGGGGCAGUGAGAAAGGCCAAGCUAGUUGCAGCAUCAGUGGCUAAGCCAAUAAUGGCAGUUUCUGCAGUUCUUGUGCCUUUCUAAAUAGACUCCUGAGGCUGGUACCCCUGUUGCUCACCCUCCCAUUACUCUACUGGUGGAAGCAGACCUUUUUAACUUUUUAGACUUUCCUAAUUUUCUAGCUUUUAUUAGAGUGCAGGCUUUUUGUGUAGGAUUUAUUACCUGAGCACAACAGGCCUCUAUUCUUGGUUGGUUCAUAGGUAUGACUCUAAUAAGCAUGAAUAAUAUCAAUUAGAAUAAUAAUUUUUAAAAUUCUACCCAUGCUACACAUUUGUAGCUUUAAUCUUAUGCUAUUGGUAGUAACUGAGCUACAUUGUACCUAGGGACAAAAACUGGAUCCAAGCUAAACAAGUUUCUCCUUUAGAAAGACAAUUAACAGCUGGUCUCUGUGGAGCCUUUAUCACAAAAUCAAUAGCAGUCAGUUCUGAUUUGCCUUGUUCUUCUUUACUCUGCAAAGCUUUUGUUGUUUAUAAAAAUGUUUAUAAGGCUGGUGGUUGCAUUGCACUUAAAACAAUGGGGACUGGCUGGUAAAAACAAUCAGAUUUAAGGCUAUGAUAACAGGGAGCGUCUACACGAGUGCUUUAAUACACAGUAGCCUAUUUUACUGCACAUUAAAGCAGCAUGUAAAAAACAUGCUAUUAUGUUAAUGCAUGGUAAAAUAGACUACUGUGCAUUGUGUCACCUAAAAAGCAUGUACUUUCGCUACUGUGCAUUAGUUCAGCCUAAUGUGCAUUAAUAUAGUACCUCACAUUGGAGGCACUAAAUUUAAUGUGCAUUAGGAAAAGCACAUUAAUGCACAUGUAGACAUUCCCACAGAUAUGUGAAACCUAGUAGAUUUAUUUUGUGAAGAGUUUGACAGAUCUUUGGUUUGGGUCAUUGACUUGUAUCUCCUUGAAGUAUCAGGGGCAUGUAAAAAAUACAAAAAUAUGAAUUGAAACUCAGUUCAAGCUACCAAGUUUCACUUCCAAUUUUGUAGAAAUUAUGUGAUUUUUGGUUUUGGUUUUGGCUCAGAAUCAUAACCUAGGACAUGUCCUGUCUUAGGUUCCACAUUGAUUGGCACAAUAAGCCCAGUGCUGCUAGGAUGAUUGUAAUGAAGUACUGGUGAGUCCUUUGUAGGCAUACUGUAUCCACUUCUGGAGCUCACACAUGAAAAAAGAACUUAGAAGAAUUUGAGAGGGGUCUAAGAAGAGUCACAAAAAUAAUUUUAUGUCCAAAAAAAACUAGCUUCCUCAAACAGGUUAAAUCCUUUUAUCAAAAAGGAAGGUAAAGAAAAACUUUAGUUAUGGUCUGUAAGUACCUAUGAGGAGAGGAAUGGAAUUUCUGAUACUAAUUAGAUCUUUAUUUUGGCUUAGAAAAUCAUAACAGUAUAUAGUUAUUGGCUGCAGCAAGAACAUUUCCUUGAUAUGAUGAUGCCAGUCUUCCAGUAUAUGGAGAAGCCAUCAGUGAAUCCAUAGAUGACCGAGGAGACAAAUCUGAGAUCUGCAUAUUCAACUGCUGACGUGACAUAUAGUUCAGGGAGGAAGGAGCAGAGCCUGAUGAUGACAGGUCACAACUUUUCCCUCUUUUGUCUGUUUGCCUCCAUUUAGGCAAGUGUGUUUGAAAUAAUAGAUGUGUUGUCAUACAUCAUGGCACCGUUGGGGAUGAUUCAGUGUUUGAGUCUUCCAGGUACUGACAUUGAUUAAUAUCACAUUUCUUCAGAUUGACUUUCAAGGAGUCCUUGAAUCUCUUCUUUUGCCCAGCUCUAGAGUGGUGACCAUCAGUGAGCUGGAGUAUAGAAUCUGUUCUUAGAGCUGAUUGUCAGACAUCCUGAUGACAUGCCUGUCCAAUGGAGCUGGUGCCAUAUAAAUAUGGCUUCAAAGGUACUUGUGUUUCCUUGAUCCAGAACCCUGGAGUUUGUUCUUCUGUAGCAGAAAGCCCCCUUUUCUCUUGCCUGCAUUUGCUCUCCCCUCUUUGGAUAUGUUUCUCUUUUUCUACCUUUUCUUCCUUCUUCUCUCUUUCACUUUAAGAUAAGGAAUUGUGUUUUAAAAUUUGUGUGUGCGCAUUUUGUAUCUCCCCUUGUAGUUUGGUAUUUUUAUCUGUUUGUGUGCCAUGGCAUUUGUAGCUUAUAUUUUAUACUCCUCACCUUUCAACUUUCAACUGAAUAUGUUUAGUUUCAUAAGUAAAUUAUACAUUGUAACAAUGUUAACAAGGGCAGGAAUCAAACUGCUCUUCCCUGUUUCAGGCUGGCCUCUAAAAGAGUGAGUGAAUCAGUGAUUGAAUGUGUAACAUAGUAGCAGGCAGCAAUUAUCACCUGGAAGCUGCAGAUCAACCAACGGAAGAACUCAAUAGAAGACAAUGUAACAACCGGGAAAUCUCUAAACGUCACUGAUCAAGGGCUAGAAGCCCUGGCCUGAGUUAAUCAACGCCAGAGACCAACUUUUGGGCUGAGUAUCUCCAGAUCAACUGCUCCCAGAGCCCUAUUCUAAAUUCAUCAACGGACUCCCAAACCUGCACGUACAUGCGGACAACCCCUGGAGCUGACAGAUGCUGUCCAGUAGCCACCGAGGGGGGGGGGAAGUCCCACAAGGGUCAACGACCCCUGGAUUGGGCAAACCUGAAACCUGGGGAGUCACCAAAGUCUGCCAGGGACAGAUAAAAGGCAGUGAAAAGUGACCCUCAGUGGCACUCUCUUGAUCUCGAUCUCCAACUCAACCAGACUUGUCCAGCCAGAAGGACCAGCCAGCGACCCCCUUCUGGAGAACAACACCAUGCUGAAAGAAGCCUCGACUGGCCAUCGGCGGCAGACUCCAGCGCUUGUAGGAUAGGUAUACCUGACUCUGUAGCCUGCUACUGUGGGUGUGUGUAUGUGUGUGCAUGUGUGUGUGUGUGUGUGGGGACCAGCCCCAAGGUUUAUGAUUACAGUAUUUCAAUCUGCCUAAUAAACUAGAAUUUUAAGGA